CUGAGCUCUUUAGAUGACAGGUAUUUGUGAUAUGUUCUUUGUUAAAAUGCUGGGAUUAGCUCUGCUUUUAUUUGUUAUAUCGUGCCUUAGUACUCUGUAAUGCAUCCAUCUGGCUGUCGUUUCUCUUCUAGCCUCUCAUCAGCCAAACAGAAGUCUUUGGUCACUCAGGUGUGGGAUUUAUCUGACCAGUGUAGUAGACAUCUGUGUCUGCUAUCACAUGGGCUCCUUUUAUAGUCAGAGGAGAGGACCACAAGGGAGAGAAGUUUCUGGCUGUUUUUCAUCUUACUUUAUGGCAGAUGUCUACAAUGGAUCAGGUGAUUUGUCUCCUGAGUGAGCCAUUUCUCCCUGCUGAGUAGGAAGGCAGUGGUGUGGAGAAAAAGCCAAUUUUUCUCCUUGUGCCAAAACUCCUGAAGACUUGAUUGAAAGUUGCUCUCAACUUUGGAGGCAAGUUUUCUCCCCAGUUACCAUUGUGCAACUGGAAAGCUUUCUUGUUCCAGGACUGCUCUGUUUUUACUGUCAAAUCCAUGAGACUGACCUCCCCAACUCACUUCAGAUGGUCCUCUCCGUACACCUGCAUGGAGAUAUCCAGCAGACAUAGGUCGGGAGCUCUGUUUCUUACAUUCUUGCCUUUUUGUCCUUUAGUUGCAUGCCCUUGCUUGUGUUUAUCCCUUCGAGCUGGACUCUUUCAGGCAGUUCUGUUAUGCCUGCGAGCUCAGUACCCCGGUUCAGUGAAAGACAGCUCCCUUAAGACUUAGGCAAGCAUUGCUCAGGAAAACAAAGGUCUCUUCAACUUGCUGUUUGGAGACAAUAUUUACUCUCUGACUGACAUGUACGCACUACCCUCCUGAAACCUCAACUCCGUUCCAGAUCUGAUAAAUACUGGUCUGCUGGAAGAUGGAAUUCUCCUUGAAAAAUAGUCUAAGCCCUGCUGUAUAACAGAAGGGCUUAGCCAGAGAAACAGAGCAGAAGUGGAGCUGCUUCUUAGCUGGGGGCUUUUAUCUUAAAAUAAAACAUGUUGCAAAAUCCAAAUAAGCAGCAAAGGUUUCUCACACAACUUUGAUAUCGCAGUUUAUGCCUCCUGAGAGCCUCUCUUCACACUGCUGCCAUGGCUUGUUAGGAUAGGAUGGGACAUUCCCCUGUCACUCCUGGUAUCACUUCUUUGCUAGAUUCCUGCCCUACUUGAAGACAAUAGUAUGUAGCAGAAACACCCUUUUGAUCAAGAAAGAUGCUGUUGAAAGGCGACAAUAUGUUUUUCCAAUUUCCAUUUCUCAGCCUAAUUAUUCUGGUCCCUGCCAUUGUUGUCCCUUAGAAGAAAUGCCUACUCAAGCAGAGGGAAGAGAAGACCUUGAAUGAAGCUAAUCCAAUAUGUGAUUUAGUCAGACAGUUCAACUGAAUGAAUAAGCAAAUAAGCUGCAUUUCAAGACUUCCCUUGCUGUGAAAGCAUUUUUUUUUUCUCAGAGUGACUCCUGGCUUAGAAGAUACAGCCAUGAUGGUUCAUGUGAUUCCAUCUCACCGUGUUUGGAGCAUGACAGACUCUCCCAAAGGCCUUUCAGCGUAGCUUCAUUUUGCUAUUUGCCCAGCGAAUACAGAUUUUUUCAUUUUGACCUGUGGUGUGUGUGGUUUUAGCAAGCUUUAUAAAUGGACUGGUUAAAGAAGUGUUGCUAACAACUUCCCCUGCCUGUUGGUAGUCAACCUUCAUCAUUCAUGGGAUUCCAUAGCAAAAGAGUUGAGCCAUCAUGGGGCAAGGGCUUCCUCUAAAGGCCAGAGUAAAUGUCAAGAAACUCUUUCCCUUCUCUCGUGUCCCAGAAAUGUUACUGUAAGUCAGAGUCACUGGACUUGUGCUGGGUUCUCCAUAGCUUGAGUAUUUUGGGGUAAGAGCGGCUGCUGUUCAGCCAGAUUGUCUAGGUGAAAGAUCACUGAGGUGAGACCGGACAGGUAAUUUAUAUCAAGUUCUGUGUUUUGUAAUUUAUACUCUGACUCUUUAAAUGAUAAAGUAAAUUAAAUUUCUCAGAUGAGUGAGAAUCAUGGGAGGGAGGAAAAAUGGGGAGGGAGAAUGCGUCUGGACUCAGGAAUUGCUGGGUGACUCAGGCACUCAGGCUCCCCUUCUUCUGGCCUGAUGCAUCUUGCUUGUUUCCUCUAGAGCAGCCCAAGAUCAUGGGAGACACGGAAACUGCUCCUUCCCUGAGCUUCCUCCAGCCUACCAGUGCUGGCCUGCAAACUGGAACCUGGUGUUGAACCCACCAGGCAAGGGAGCUCCCUGUGCCCAGUGAUGUGCUGUCAUCCUGAGGCCAUUGGCUAAAAAGCUGGUGGCUUCUUCACGCCCAUUGCUUUUGGUUGAGCAUGAUGCUGUCUUUGGGGGCUGAGUUGCGGUGCCUUUUGGACCUGUAUCAGACUGGGAGCUCAACCUUUAGCAGGGGUAAAGUGAAAGAUUUCAACAUAUAAUGACUAGAAAUGGUGAGUAUGACCUGGACAUGAAGAAGGUGAAUGUUCUCCUUGAGCUUACCUGUGUGCCUUUCCAGUUGAGAUGGGAGCAUUGCCUCAUGCAAGGCUCUUGUAAGAUCUCUCUGGGAGGGCAUUUGCAAAUCUAUUCUCUUCUGUUUUAGGAAAGAAGAAUUAAAACUGGAACAGUUGAGGAAGACUGCUCAUACGUUGAUCAGGAGAAGGCAAAGGCUGUCCUAGGAGAGAAGAUUAAAAGUUUGGCUUGCUUCACCUGGCAAGUGGAAGCUGGAAGGUGCUGAUGUGUCCUGGGAAACGUCACUUGUCCUUGGAUCUCAGAUAUGGUCCAACAUGGGUGAAAUUUAAAAAACCAAAAGUGAGAUGAAACUGAAGCAAAAUGGCAUAUAUGGGUGCGUGGGACCAAGUGGGAUGUGUUCAAGGGUGCUGAGGAAGCUGGUUGAUGUCAUUCUAUCAUCUCUGAAAGGUGGUGAUGAUCGUGGAAGGUCCCCAAUGACUGGGAAGAGGCUAACGUUAGGUUCAUCCUCAAAGAGAGUAAGGAGCAUUCAAGAAAACUUCAAACAGCUUCACCUCUACCUCUGGUUCCAGAGCAAAUCUUCCUGAGGGCCAUUUCCAGACACUUGAGGACAAGAAUCACCACUGAAUGCAGGGACCAGAUCUCCAUUCACCAUCAUGAGAAUUUGACUCUAAACUUAAGCUUGAGCAGAUUCCCACCGUGCCUCUGAGAAGAUGAGUGUUCUUGUGUCCCUGGGCAAAGCAAGAGCCUUUGGCAGGACAAGAACCAAACCUUGGUCUCCCAGGUCUCAUGAGAAUAAUUUAAAAACUAGACCACUCAUAAUUCCUCCUGGAGGGUUGAGAAAGUAAAGCAAAAUGUCUUCUCCAAAUCUACUUAAAAAUCCAUGGGAGCUGGUACAACUGGUGCUGUGCAUCUGGACUGGGGACCAUACAUUCAUGUAUGGAUGUUAGCAUUCCUCUGGAUUUAAUAAUAGAUGUUCAGCUGAGCUGAGGCUCUGAAUCCUGGUCUGUGGAGGAUUUGGCUGUGGUGGCUGUAAGGUUACCAUGUCCAGAGCAGGGUCGGAUCAAUGCCAUGAGCUGAUACCCUGUUCCCCAGGAGCAGCAACUUAAAGUGCCACUGCUGAAUCCUUUCAACCUGCAAAUUUGAAGGCUGAUCCUACAACUGUUUGAAAAUGUAGAUCUCAGCUUUACUCCUGUGGGUCGUCCCGCUGAAGUUAAGGUGAAGUUGACUCCUGUAUGGGAGGUCCUGUGGGUAUCCCAGGUUUGCUGGGGGCUGAACCCACCAGCUCCUGUUGAUGCCAGGCUUGCUCUGCAGCCAGCUGCGUUUCUCUGAGUUACAGUGGCAGAAGGAAGGAGAAAUGAUCUGAAGAAAAGAAACGGGGCAGAAAUGUAAACUAGAUCACGUUGAUUCACAACAGCUCUUCAUUGUUAGUGAGAAAACCCCUACUAAACCCAACGAACGAUGAAGUAUCUGUAGCAGUGAAAUCCAGCUGCCAACAAUGUUACAGUAAAAAAUGGCCAUGGGUCCUGUUAGUUUGCUAUAAGCGCUAAAGCUGAAUGUGUGUGCAAUAAAACAGCUUUUAUAAAACCUUGCUUUUGUGCCAUUCCAAGCUUAAAAUGCUAUUUUGUCUUCAGAUCUGCAGAGAAAAAAAGAAGCCCACAACUUGAGGUGACUUUUGUUUUAAGACUGUUUUAAAUUUAUAACUGAGCUGGCUAAAAUGCUUUUCAUCAAAGUACAAAAGUUUCAUGCCGUAAUUAAUGGCAAGUGAUAUCUAAUGCAAUAAAACACCAUCAUUUGAGUGUUCUUACAAGACUAUUUAUGACUGGAUAUUGAAACUGAUAAUGAUUCUGCCAUUUGUCCUCAUAAUUUAUUAUUCCAAGGAGAGGCAAGUGGUGUUAAGGGUUCACGAUCCGUUUUAUGGAAAGAGUGCUGAAUUCAGCUUUUUAUGGGUGUAAAUGACAAUGUUUGGCGCUCUGUGGAAAAUGUGCAAGUGACAGCCAGUGCAGACCCUACUGAGGGGUCGAGAUGGGGGGUGUUAAUGAGAGCGAAGCCCCUGGCUGGAUGAUGCAGUUACAGGUAGUGUUACUGGGACCAGUUCAAUGGCUUAGUCAUCGUCUCAGCAGGAUCCCUUGGUUUUUCUGGAAGCCUUCUACCUGGUUUCUGAACUGGAUGAUCUCAUAAGUAUCGUUUUGGGCAGUCAAAGCUGAAUUAACUAUAAGCAACCUAAUCCAAAGCCCACGGAAGAUAAUGGAAAGAAUUACUGGCUCUGGCAAGUCUUGUGUCAGGCCAAAACAAAAGCUCGACUCUGGAGGAGACUUCCCUUGGUCCUGCAAAGCGCCGGCCAGACUGUAUCCCUCUGAGCACAGCCCUUUCAUAUUGCACUGGGCUGAGGCUGAUUUACUGAAUGCUCAGGCUCCAAUCCUCACCUUAUUCGGGCUCAUGGAAACCUGGAGGAAUUUCUUAAGUCAGUGUUGAUGCAACUAAUGGAAAAUCUGAGUGAAGUCAGACCUUGGGUUGUUUUUUUUUUUUUGCACUAAGACCUGAAAAAGAGAGAUGAUACUACAGCCUGCCGGACUCCUGGCCCUGAGACUACAGCUUUCUGGUUUUCCCCAGCCUGCUGUUCAUUUGCUUUAGAAUAAGGAACUGUAGGUAAAGAUUUGCAUUCCCAUCAAUAGCCCGAGCAGCAGUCUAAUGAGUUUCUUGCUGCUUUGCAAAUAGCUUGGAGUGAAUCUGAUGCCACAGAAGCAGAGUGCAGGAUGUAACCCAUUUUCUUUGCUUUUCAAGAGCUGUGGUCCCCUUCCUCUUCCCUUCUGCCUCCCCUCGUUUAUUCUAAUCAGCAUGUCAAAAUGGAAGUAGCUCCUUUAUUGGAGGUUAUCCAUGUCAAGGGAAGUUAUGUUUCCAUCACUACCUGGGGGCCCAUCAGCAGAUGAAGAUGGAGAGCAGUGACUCAAAAUGACUUUGAAGCAACACCCAGCAGCAACUGAUGACAAGAACAUAACCUUAGCUGACGUUUAAAAUAACCCGAUAUACAAAUAAAACUGUUCUGCUAAAUUAUGCAUCUUUUUACUCUUGGCUGUUCUUAAGGGAAAGGGACUGGUCCUUGUCCAAAACUUCUUGAGAUCCUGUGGCUGAGCCUUUGCCAGAUGCAACUUCAUUGACCGUGAAGGAGAUGCAUUGAUUGACCUUGAACAAUGACCUGCCCUCCGGAUUUCAUUUAAUG